GGAGUAUCUGCACUCCCCACAGUUUAUCCUGUAGUUUAUCCCCGAACUCAUGCUGCUCUGGCACUACAUGCAUCUGCAACCUUUGGGGACAAAACUGCAAAUGCCAACGGCUAGGCCUAAUCAGUCAGUGGCUGGGUUAAGAUCUCAAGAUGGAGGUUUCUUCUCAACAAACUGAUAUAUAUAUAUCUAUGAUACAUAUGUUUAUCGUUGUUUUUAAUCAUAUUAUUGAACAAUUUAUCUAGUUUUUGUCGUCUAUAUAAGAUGUACACUAUUUCAGCAUGAAAAUCCAAGUACAGAGAAACAAAUAACAAUACUUCGUAGAGACUGUUUUAUUUUUUUUAUUAUUAUUACGUGAUCAGAAUAUUGUUAUCUUUUCUAUUUAUCUAGUGAAUUAGUUAUUCAAAGACAGCGGUAAUGGAAAAAUUGCUAACAAACUCUCGUCUUAAAUCUUUCUUUUGAUAAAAUAUACCGCGAGGUAUUUAUGAUUAAAAGCUGUUCUAUUUCUGAAAAAUAGAAACAAAAGGGAAGUAGUUAACCUGGCUACGCAUGGGCCAACUACUGAUAUCAUCUUAGCCCUAUCUAGCCUGGGGGGGGGGGGUAAAUUAACCCCCCCCCCCAUCGUUUUUUUCGAUAACUCAAAAAGCAUUUGAGCUAGGAAGCUCAAAUCUUCUGGCUUUUCUACCUGACACAUGUCCCUAACUUGAAGCUAAAAGAUGCCUAAUUUUACCUAUACCAGACUAAAUAUCUAUUUAGACCUACUUCCAUUCACUAGAUUUCAACAUUUUAUAGCUAUUGGAAAGCCUAUAACAAAGCAAGCAGAUGGCACAAUUUUUGCAAAGACAUUUUGCACAAGUUUUUGCACAGACGCCAUUAAAGGGAAUUUGCACUCUUUCGCUUUUCUUGAACCAUUUAAGUUUAAAACAUUUUGCAAAUGUUUUUGCACAUUUAAAUUUGCUGGGUCAAGGGAUUUUCAAAAAUGAAUUAAUUCUUGCAAUUUGCGUAUUUUUUUUGGUACAUUUUUUGCCUUAUAACUAGAUUACGCAAUAAAUAUUUGGAUUUUUGUACAUUUGCCAGUUUCCUCUAUCUUUUUGGUAAUCACUACAAGGUUACAAAGGAUGAGAAAGGAUGAGACUGUAAAGAUAACUUGAAACUUAUCAAAUAUGGCUUAGUUUAAAAGUCAUAUGCCUUGAAUGUGGUCUUUAUACAGUCGUCUCUGAAUUCUCAUCCUUUGUGGGGAACCCUGUACAGUAAAAAAUGCAAAAAGAUAUCGGUAAGGCACUGAUCUUUGCAAUUGGCUGCAAUGCGGAAGAAAGUGUAAAAAAAACGGGAGAGAAAACAUAAAAAAAUGAAGGUUCUGUAUUCUGUAAAA